GACGAACGCUGGCGGCGUGCUUAACACAUGCAAGUCGAACGGAAAGGCCCUGCUUGCAGGGUACUCGAGUGGCGAACGGGUGAGUAACACGUUGGGGAUCUGCCCUGCACUUCGGGAUAAGCUUGGGAAACUGGGUCUAAUACCGGAUAGGAGCCAUCUGUAGUGUGGUGGUUGGAAAGGUUUUUCGGUGUAGGAUGAGCUCGCGGCCUAUCAGCUUGUUUGUGGGGUAAUGGCCUACCAAGGCGGCGACGGGUAGCCGGCCUGAGAGGGUGUACGGCCACAUUGGGACUGAGAUACGGCCCAGACUCCUACGGGAGGCAGCAGGGGGGAAUAUUGGACAAUGGGCGCAAGCCUGAUGCAGCGACGCCGCGUGGGGGAUGAAGGCCUUCGGGUUGUAAACUCCUUUCGCUAGGGACGAAGCUUUGUUGUGACGGUACCUAGAUAAGAAGCACCGGCUAACUACGUG
rnacentral:rRNA from 1 species